rnacentral:rRNA from 1 species
UUAAGCAUAUUAAUUAGGGGAGGAAAAGAAACUAACAAGGAUUUUCUUAGUAGCGGCGAGCGAAAAGAAAUCAGUUCAGCACUAAGUCACUUUGUCUAUAUGGCAAAUGUGAGAUGCAGUGUAUGGAGCGUCAAUAUUCUAGUAUGAGAAAUUAACGAUUUAAGUCCUUCUUAAAUGAGGCCAUUUACCCAUAGAGGGUGCCAGGCCCGUAUAACGUUAAUGAUUACUAGAUGAUGUUUCCAAAGAGUCGUGUUGCUUGAUAGUGCAGCACUAAGUGGGUGGUAAACUCCAUCUAAAACUAAAUAUAACCAUGAGACCGAUAGUAAACAAGUACCGUGAGGGAAGUUGAAAAGAACUCUGAAUAGAGAGUUAAAUAGUACGUGAAACUGCUUAGAGGUUAAGCCCGAUGAACCUGAAUAUCCGUUAUGGAAAAUUCAUCAUUAAAGUUAUAAUAUUUAAACAAAUAUUAUACAAAUAAUGUGCAUUUUUUCCAUAUAAGGACAUGUAAUCUAUAACAUAUUAAAUUUAUCAUAAAAUAUGGCUUAUAGUUUAUUCAAAUUAUUAUGCUUGCAUUUUAACAUAGAAUAAAUGUCAUUAAUUUGAUAAAGUGUGAUAGACUAAUAAGAAUACAGUGCGUUAAUUUUUCGGAAUUAUAUAAUGGCAUAAUUAUCAUUGAUUUUUGUGUUUAUUAUAAGCACUUGUAUGAUUAACAAUGCGAAAGAUUCAGGAUACCUUCGGGACCCGUCUUGAAACACGGACCAAGGAGUCUAACAUAUGUGCAAGUUAUUGGGAUAUAAACCUAAUAGCGUAAUUAACUUGACUAAUAAUGGGAUUAGUUUUUUAACUAUUUUAUAGCUAAUUAACACAAUCCCGGGGCGUUCUAUAUAGUUAUGUAUAAUAAUAUUUAUAUUAUUUAUGCCUCUAACUGGAACGUACCUUGAGCAGAUAUGCUGUGACCCGAAAGAUGGUGAACUAUACUUGAUCAGGUUGAAGUCAGGGGAAACCCUGAUGGAAGACCGAAACAGUUCUGACGUGCAAAUCGAUUGUCAGAAUUGAGUAUAGGGGCGAAAGACCAAUCGAACCAUCUAGUAGCUGGUUCCUUCCGAAGUUUCCCUCAGGAUAGCUGGUGCAUUUUAAUGUUAUAUAAAAUAAUCUUAUCUGGUAAAGCGAAUGAUUAGAGGCCUUAGGGUCGAAACGAUCUUAACCUAUUCUCAAACUUUAAAUGGGUAAGAACCUUAACUUUCUUGAUAUGAAGUUUAAGGUUAUGAUAUAUUGUGCCCAGUGGGCCACUUUUGGUAAGCAGAACUGGCGCUGUGGGAUGAACCAAACGUAAUGUUACGGUGCCCAAAUUAACAACUCAUGCAGAAACCAUGAAAGGCGUUGGUUGCUUAAAACAGCAGGACGGUGAUCAUGGAAGUCGAAAUCCGCUAAGGAGUGUGUAACAACUCACCUGCCGAAGCAACUAGCCUUAAAAUGGAUGGCGCUUAAGUUGUAUACCUAUACAUUACCGCUAAAGUAGAUGAUUUAUAUUACUUGUAAUAUAAAUUUUGAAACUUUAGUGAGUAGGAAGGUACAAUGGUAUGCGUAGAAGUGUUUGGCGUAAGCCUGCAUGGAGCUGCUAUUGGUACAGAUCUUUUGGUGGUAGUAGCAAAUAAUCGAAUGAGACCUUGGAGGACUGAAGUGGAGAAGGGUUUCGUGUGAACAGUGGUUGAUCACGAGUUAGUCGGUCCUAAGUUCAAGGCGAAAGCCGAAAAUUUUCAAGUAAAAAUAAAAUUUACUAUAUGUAAAAAUAUAUACUUGAAUAAUUUUGAACGAAAGGGAAUACGGUUCCAAUUCCGUAACCUGUUGAGUAUCCGUUUGUUAUUAAAUAUGGGCCUCGUGCUCAUCCUGGCAACAGGAACGACCAUAAAGAAGCCGUCGAGAGAUAUCGGAAGAGUUUUUUUUCUGUUUUAUAGUCGUACUACCAUGGAAGUCUUUCGCGAGAGAUAUGGUAGAUGGGCUAGAAGAGCAUGACAUAUACUGUUGUGUCGAUAUUUUCUCCUCGGACCUUGAAAAUUAUGGUGGGGAUACGCAAACUUCUCAACAGGCCGUACCAAUAUCCGCAGCUGGUCUCCAAGGUGAAGAGUCUCUAGUCGAUAGAAUAAUGUAGGUAAGGAAGUCGGCAAAUUAGAUCCGUAACUUCGGGAUAAGGAUUGGCUCUGAAGAUUGAGAUAGUCGGGCUUGAUGGGAAACAAUAAUAUGGUUAUGUGCUCGUUCUGGGUAAAUAGAGUUUCGAUCAUUUAUGGUUGUAACUUGUUCCCCGGAUAGUUAGUUACGUAUCCAAUUGUGGAACUUUCUUGCUAAAAUUUUUAAGAAUACUAGUGGGGUCAAACCAAUUAGUUCUUAUUAAUUAUUAUAACGAUUAUCAAUUAACAAUCAAUUCAGAACUGGCACGGACUUGGGGAAUCCGACUGUCUAAUUAAAACAAAGCAUUGUGAUGGCCCUAGCGGUUGUGUUGACACAAUGUGAUUUCUGCCCAGUGCUCUGAAUGUCAAAGUGAAGAAAUUCAAGUAAGCGCGGGUCAACGGCGGGAGUAACUAUGACUCUCUUAAGGUAGCCAAAUGCCUCGUCAUCUAAUUAGUGACGCGCAUGAAUGGAUUAACGAGAUUCCUACUGUCCCUAUCUACUAUCUAGCGAAAACCACAGCCAAGGGAACGGGCUUGGAAUAAUUAGCGGGGAAAGAAGACCCUUUUGAGCUUGACUCUAAUCUGGC